rnacentral:rRNA from 1 species
CUCCGGUUGAUCCUGCCGGACCCGACUGCUAUCGGAAUGGGAUUUAGCCAUGUUAAUCAUGCGUUCCUCGAGUGCGGGGGACGCGGUGUACGGCUCAGUAACACGUAGUCAACCUACCCUAGAGACGCGGACAAACCCGGGAAACUGGGGCUAAUACGCGAUAGGUCAUAUCAUCUGGAAAGAGAUAUGGCCCAAAAGGAUGGUGCGGGCUUCUUCCGCAUCAUUCGCUCCAGGAUGGGACUGCGGCCGAUCAGGCUGUUGGCGGGGUAAUGGCCCACCAAACCUGUAACCGGUACGGGCUUUGAGAGAAGGAGCCCGGAGAUGGACACUGAGACAAGGGUCCAGGCCCUACGGGGCGCAUCAGGCGCGAAAACUUCGCAAUGUGCGAAAGCACGACUAGGUUAAUCCGAGUGAUUUCUGUUGAAGAAAUCUUUUGUCAGUCAUAAAACCACAGACGAAUAAGGGGUGGGCAAGUCUGGUGUCAGCCGCCGCGGUAAUACCAGCACCUCGAGUGGUCAGGAGGUUUAUUGGGCCUAAAGCAUCCGUAGCCGGCUACGCAAGUCUCCGGUUAAAUCCAGCUGCUCAACAGAUGGGCUGCCGGAGAUACUACAUAGCUAGGGAGCGGGAGAGGCAGACGGUAUUCUGUGGGUAGGGGUAAAAUCCUUUGAUCCAUAGAGGACCACCAGUGGCGAAGGCGGUCUGCCAGAACGCGUUCGACGGUGAGGGAUGAAAGCUGGGGGAGCAAACCGGAUUAGAUACCCGGGUAGUCCCAGCUGUAAACGAUGCAAACUCGGUGAUGCAUUGGCUUAUGGCCAAUGCAGUGCCGCAGGGAAGCCGUUAAGUUUGCCGCCUGGGAAGUACGGACGCAAGUCUGAAACUUAAAGGAAUUGGCGGGGGAGCA